UCCUUCUCUUCUUCUUCCUUCCAUUUUGUAACCCUCUGUAUUACUUCCACUUCUAGCUAGGGUUAAAAAAAACCCAAAACAACAGUUCUGUAUCUCACUUUAUCUCUGAGAUACGUUUCACACAGUCCCAUCUUUGCAUAAAACGACAAUUCCUAUUCAAGAAAAACACAAUUUAACAGUUAGAACUCAUAAUUCGUUAGUACAAGUUGGAUUAUCCGAAUCAAAAGGUCUAAUCCAUAUUCGUUCGGAUCCGUCUCCAUCUGAAAUUAAAUAGGUAUUUCGUAGAGAAUUAAUAGUAUUGCAUUUUCUAUUACUUAUUGCCAUAUUGAAGUAAAUGCCCUAAGUAAACUUCUCACUUAUGACUUAUAUAAGUUAAUAAGUCAUUUUUGAGAAGGAAUCCCAAACACCCACAAAAAUACUUUUAUAGACAUAAAUUUUUUUAACAUAACCCAUAACCCGUGAAGUGCCUAUAAUUUUUUUAACAUAAUCCAUAACCCGUGAAGGUCAUGGGUAUAUAAACUGUUGGGUGUGCUUUGAGGUUGAAACAUUAAGCGUGGGAGGGUAUAAAUAGGAGACAUUAAGCGUCACGUAGCAGUCACGUUAGCAAGGCGGCGCGGUAAGAAAAACACGUGGUAGAAAGGACGUUAAAGUGGUGUUUUAAAAAAAAAUCAAAAACCAAUAAAAUGUUAGUAUGAAGAGGUUAUCCAAUUAGUUUGAUUAUGAUUCAAAUAUAUUGAAAACUCUAAUAAUGAAGCAUAAAUAACACCAAGACACAUUUGUUCCUCCACAUGUAUGGUUUGGUCAUUGUGAACAAGAGAAGGAUUCCACAUAGAAAGUGGUUCAAACAUGCUUUUUUUCGUAUGGGUCAAAACAGAAAAGAGUUGAUGUGCACACUUUUAGUUUUGUCGGUUACAGUAUUUUUUUUAUUCUAUUUUCUGUUGUGUGUUUGAUGAGUUGUGUUUGUAUGGUUAAUCAUCGCCUGGUUACAAUGGUGACACUUUUCGUUGGAGAUGAUUGGAACAAAUGGCGUCAACGUUAAGAUGGUUCGGGUGUGGAAGAUCUGGUUACUUCUGUGGCGGUAACAAUUAGCAAGGGUGAUUCAACUCAUUCAGUCGGCGCUAUGGUUACUUCUGUCGUUUUCAUCUAAGAUAAAAAGCAGGUUAUAAAUGACAGGUUCGGUAUUUUUUAGGAUCUUACGACCACCCCCAUGAUUGUGUUGUUGUUCGUAGUUGGGAAAGAAAACGAACUAGGGUGAUCGGUCCAUGUGAAAAAGGAGGGCUAGGGCUUGGGUCUCUUUGGGACAUGAAUAUUAGUUUGCUAGCAAAAUGGUGGUGGCGUUUUUAAGAAUGAAGAUAAGGCUUUAUGGAAACAAGUAAUAGAAGCGGUACACUCACAACCGAGAUCGUGGUCAUAUGUGCCAGUCAAAGCUGGAAUUUAUGGAGUAUUGGAGUUUGGAAUGUAAUUAUCAAGAUGGAGAAGGAUUUAAGUAAUCUUAAUAUCCAGAUAAGUCAUCUAAAAAAGGGGCUCUUGGGGACGGGUCAACUAUCUGAUUCUGAUAGAUAAAUGGAUAGACAGCAACCAUUAAAGGAGGAUUUUUCCAGCUUUAUUUCUCUUGGAAAUUGAAAAAAAAAUACAACUAUAGCGAGGCGAAUUUCUGUCUUGGGAUGACUGGGAGAGUGGAUGAGACCUACAAGAGAAUAGGAAAUUAGGGAGAUGGAGCACCUGAAUGUUUUAUUAAUGAACAUUGCGGUCACUGAUGGUAGGGAUAGAUGGGUGUGGGAACUGGACGGAUCAGGUUAGUUUACAGUGGGCUCGUGUAGGAGAUUAAUGACAGAGUAUGCAAUACCGUAUUUUCCUUUUCAAAGAGUAAAAUGCGUUCCAAAAAAGAUAAAAUAUAUUUGGGUGGCGUGUAGAACAAGAGCAUUUACCUACUUUGGUUGGUCUACAUAAAAGAAGAAUCCAUAGCGGCUCCACGUUGUGCAGGUUUUGUAAUGGCGGAGAUGAAAUGCAACACACGUAUUCACAUCCUGCUACGUUGCGGCUGUCGUGUGGAACAAAAUUAGUGAGCGGUGUAAUAUACCGCCGGUCUUCGCCUUCUCUUUCAAAGAUCUACUAAGUGUCUGCAAGGUUCCAGGCUACACUCGAAUGAAGAAAAAGGCGGUACAAGUUGUGGUGCUGACAGUAUGCUUCAUAAUAUUGAAGUGUCAGAAUGAUCUCAUACUUUCGAGCAAGCGGGUUCACAUUGAAAGGCUGUUAGGUGAAGUACAAUCCACCUCCUUGUGGAUAAAACACCAGGCGGAACAGCAGCAUAUGUAGUGGGAAAAAUGGGUGACUUUUGAUUUCUAAAUUAUAGUUUGGGACCCGGGCUUAUACUGUCUGGUGGUGCAAUGACUCUUGAGGGCAAUUCUGCUAACGCAGGGACUCCUAUCUCGCCGAGAGGUGCUGGAUUUCAUAUAUUUUUGGCUCUGCUUUUUUUUUUUUCGGCUAGACCUUGAUGUUAUUGUUUGUUUUGUCAACAAGUUUAGUUGUGUGUUGAUUUUA